CCUACGGGGUGCAGCAGUGAGGAAUAUUGGUCAAUGGACGGAAGUCUGAACCAGCCAUGCCGCGUGCAGGAAGACGGCUCUAUGAGUUGUAAACUGCUUUUGUACCAGGGUAAACCUGAAUACGUGUAUUCAGCUGACAGUACUGUACGAAUAAGGAUAGGCGAACUCCGUGCCCGCAGCCGCGGUAAUAAGGAGGAUCCAAGCGUUAUCCGGAUUUAUUGGGUUUAAAGGGUGUGUAGGCGGAGUGAUAAGGUAGAGGUGAAAUGUCCGAGCUUAACUCGGGAACUGCCUUUAAAACUGUUGAUCUAGAGAGUAGAUGCGGUAGGCGGAAGGUAUGGUGUAGCGGUGAAAUGCUUAGAGAUCAUACAGAACACCGAUUGCGAAGGCAGCUUACCAAUCUAUAUCUGACGUUGAGGCACGAAAGCGUGGGGAGCAAACAGGAUUAGAUACCCCUGUAGUC
rnacentral:rRNA from 1 species